UCCAUUCUUUCAGGCACAUAAUGCGUAGGAAUAGCGAGCCACGGUAAAUCCGGAUUCCACAUUUGUAACGCAUCUGGAGGAUAUAAUCCUGCUAACAUUAAUUGGAGAGACGAUUUUGUGCGAUCAGUAUCUGAGCUGACAGCAUAGAUAUCACGUGGAUGAUAAAUUGGUCCCAAAAACUCGUUGUAACGUUGUCGCAACAUUGUACCAAUUCGAUAUUCCGUCAGCUUUCCUUGCUGCAAGAUUACAGACACGUGUGACUGAUAACAAAGAAGAUAAAUAUUUAGUUAUGUAAUAUUUAAUGUAAAGCAACAUUAAAAACAUAUGCGCAAA